UAGACAUUCAUUCCAUCUUUCCAGAGCAGCAGCUUGACAAAACAUGGGAUUGCCAACCCUGAAGCUGGACCCUUGCCCAGAGUGGUGAGGAGUGGCACCCAGGCCAUGUGUGACUCCUAUUAGUUGUCCAGCUGGUGUAUUUGGUGCACCACCACUGAUCCAACUGAAUACUUUGAGCCUCAUCCAAGAUUACCCAGAUCGCCCAGAACCAAUGAAUGCAGCACGGAGCAUAUUCAUCUUAGAUGCCAUCUAUGGUGAAAAUGCCAAGAAAUCCUGAUUGUUAUACUAGCAAGAAUCCUAGGAGUAUGGCAAGCUCUGACUGGAGAUUUUAAAAAAGAUAUUUGUGUGAACAGUUCAUUUCACAGAACAAAGUGCUAAAUAUGUGCUUAGUACUGAUGAUGUUAUAAUAAAGGUCG
rnacentral:lncRNA from 1 species